GGCGCUAUGGCCGAGCGGUUAAGGCGAGAGAUUAGAAAUCUCUUUCCCUCUGGGAGCGCAGGUUCGAGUCCUGCUGGCGUCG
rfam:Lipomyces starkeyi NRRL Y-11557 unplaced genomic scaffold LIPSTscaffold_4, whole genome shotgun sequence.